rnacentral:rRNA from 1 species
CCUACGGGAGGCAGCAGUGGGGAAUAUUGCACAAUGGGGGCAACUUUGAUGCAGCAACGCCGCGUGGGUGAAGAAGUACUUCGGUAUGUAAAGCUCUGUUAGCAGGGAAGAAAAUGACGGUACCUGACCAUGAAGCCCCGGCUAACUACGUGCCAGCAGCCGCGGUAAUACGUAGGGGGCAAGCGUUAUCCGGAUUUACUGGGUGUAAAGGGAGCUUAGACGGCAAGGCAAGUCUGGAGUGAAAGCCCGUGGCCCAACCGCGGGACUGCCUGGGAAACUGUGUUGCUGGAGUGCAGGAGGGGUAAGCGGAAUGCCUAGUGUAGCGGUGAAAUGCGUAGAUAUUAGGAGGAACACCGGUGGCGAAGGCGGCUUACUGGACUGUAACUGACGUUGAGGCUCGAAGGCGUGGGGAGCAAACAGGAUUAGAUACCCGUGUAGUC